rnacentral:rRNA from 1 species
UACGAAGGGGGCUAGCGUUGCUCGGAAUCAUUGGGCGUAAAGAGCGUGUAGGCGGCUCGAUAAGUCUGCUGUGAAAGUCCAGGGCUCAACCCUGGAAGGCCGGUGGAAACUGUCGGGCUAGAGUCCGGAAGAGGCGAGUGGAAUUCCCGGUGUAGCGGUGAAAUGCGCAGAUAUCGGGAGGAACACCAAUGGCGAAGGCAGCUCGCUGGGACGGUACUGACGCUGAGACGCGAAAGCGUGGGGAGCAAACAGG